rnacentral:rRNA from 1 species
UAAUACAGAGGGUGCAAACGUUGCUCGGAAUUAUUGGGCGUAAAGCGCAUGUAGGCGGCAUAGUAAGUUCACUGUGAAAGCCCUUGGCUCAACCAAGGAAGUGCAGUGAAAACUGCUAAGCUCGAGUUCUGAAGAGGGUCGCGGAAUGGCCAGUGUAGAGGUGAAAUUCGUAGAUAUUGGCUAGAACACCAGUGGCGAAGGCGGCGACCUGGGAAGAUACUGACGCUGAGAUGCGAAAGCGUGGGGAGCAAACAGGAUUAGAUACCCUGGUAGUCCACGCCGUAAACGAUGAACACUAGUUGUUGCGGGUAUUGACCCCUGCAGUGACGACGCCAACGCAUUAAGUGUUCCGCCUGGGGAGUACGGCCGCAAGGCUA